CCUACGGGAGGCAGCAGUGAGGAAUAUUGGUCAAUGGGCGAGAGCCUGAACCAGCCAAGUCGCGUGAAGGAUGACGGCCCUACGGGUUGUAAACUUCUUUUGUCAGGGAGCAAUUGUGUCCACGUGUGGGCUUAGCGAGAGUACCUGAAGAACAAGCAUCGGCUAACUCCGUGCCAGCAGCCGCGGUAAUCCGGGGGAUGCGAGCGUUAUCCGGAUUUAUUGGGUUUAAGGGGUGCGUAGGCGGAAUAUAAAGUCAGCGGUAAAAAUUCGGGGUUCAACCCCGUCGUGCCGUUGAAACUGAUGUUCUUGAGUGCGCGAGAGGUAUGCGGAAUGCGUGGUGUAGCGGUGAAAUGCAUAGAUAUCACGCAGAACUCCGAUUGCGAAGGCAGCAUACCGGCGCCCAACUGACGCUGAAGCACGAAAGCGUGGGGAGCGAACAGGAUUAGAUACCCGGGUAGUC
rnacentral:rRNA from 1 species